UGGGGAAUAUUGCACAAUGGGCGAAAGCCUGAUGCAGCGACGCCGCGUGAGGGAUGACGGCCUUCGGGUUGUAAACCUCUUUCAGUAGGGAAGAAGCGAAAGUGACGGUACCUGCAGAAGAAGCGCCGGCUAACUACGUGCCAGCAGCCGCGGUAAUACGUAGGGCGCAAGCGUUAUCCGGAUUUAUUGGGCGUAAAGAGCUCGUAGGCGGUUUGUCGCGUCUGCCGUGAAAGUCCGAGGCUCAACCUCGGAUCUGCGGUGGGUACGGGCAGACUAGAGUGAUGUAGGGGAGACUGGAAUUCCUGGUGUAGCGGUGAAAUGCGCAGAUAUCAGGAGGAACACCGAUGGCGAAGGCAGGUCUCUGGGCAUUUACUGACGCUGAGGAGCGAAAGCAUGGGGAGCGAACAGG
rnacentral:rRNA from 1 species